rnacentral:rRNA from 1 species
GUCCACGCCGUAAACGUUGAUUACUCGCUGUUGGCGAUACACUGUCAGCGGCUAAGCGAAAGCGUUAAGUAAUCCACCUGGGAAGUACGACCGCAAGGUUGAAACUCAAAGGAAUUGACGGGGGCCCGCACAAGCGGAGGAGCAUGUGGUUUAAUUCGAUGAUACGCGAGGAACCUUACCUGGGCUUAAAUGUCAUUUGACCGGUGCCGAAAGGUGCCUUCCCUUCGGGGCAAAUGGCAAGGUGCUGCAUGGCUGUCGU